rnacentral:rRNA from 1 species
CGCGGUAAUACGUAGGGCGCAAGCGUUAUCCGGAUUUAUUGGGCGUAAAGAGCUCGUAGGCGGCUCAGUAAGUCGGUUGUGAAACCUCCAGGCUCAACCUGGAGACGCCACCCGAUACUGCUGUGGCUAGAGUCCAGUAGGGGAGCGUGGAAUUCCUGGUGUAGCGGUGAAAUGCGCAGAUAUCAGGAGGAACACCAGUGGCGAAGGCGGCGCUCUGGGCUGGAACUGACGCUGAGGAGCGAAAGCGUGGGGAGCGAACAGG